UCUCUCCCUCUCUCUCUCUCUCCUGUGUGUCUGUGCGUCAUCACCGUGACCGAACUGUUCAUAUGAGGGGAAAGAGUCAGACCUCCACCAUAGUUGCAACUUCUAAUAAUCGAUCUGUAGGCUGUAGAUCUUACUCGCUAUAAAAUGUUCAUCAUUAAAGAAAUCCAAAGAAAUGUCAAGUUAAAUGAAGAAAAUAAGUAAUUGUGUAAAUAUUCACCCCUUUCAAAGUGACUAAUUGAACUCAGGUGCAGUCAGUUGGUGCUAGAAGUCCCACAGUCAGUGAAAUAAAGAUGAUCUGAGGUCAGCAGCAUCAUGACGUGAAGCAUUGCAGUGGAAGCAUCAUGACAUGAAGCAUGGUGGUGGUGGCAUCAUGACGUGAAGCACGGCGGUGGAGGCAUCAUGACGUGAAGCACGGCGGUGGCGGCAUCAUGACGUGAAGCACGGCGGUGGCGGCUUCAUGACGUGAAGCACGGCGGUGGCGGCAUCAUGACGUGAAGCAUGGCGGUGGAAGCAUCAUGACGUGAAGCAUGGUGGUGGCGGCUUCAUGAUGUGAAGCACGGCAGUGGCGGCAUCAUGACGUGAAGCACGGCGGUGGCGGCAUCAUGACGUGAAGCACGGUGGUGGCGGCAUCAUGACGUGAAGCAUGGCAGUGGAAGCAUCAUGACGUGAAACAUGUCAUGAUGUGAAGCAUGGCGGUGGCAGCAUUAUGAUGUGAAGCAUGGUGGUGGCGGCAUCAUGAUGUGAAGCGUGGUGGUGGCAGCAUUAUGAUGUGAAGCAUGGUGGUGGCGGCAUCAUGAUGUGAAGCGUGGUGGUGGCGGCAUCAUGAUGUGAAGCGUGGUGGUGGCAGCAUUAUGAUGUGAAGCAUUGCGGUGGCAGCAUCAUGAGACCAACAGGAUUAAUGGAAUAAUUCUAACUCAAAGACACAUGGAUAAUAUUUCAGGUCUGAAGCUCAGAAUGCAGAUUGGUGUUCUUUUUUUCUGCAGGUGUGAUGUUCUGAUGGAUCCAUAGAAACCGACCAGCCCUCGGUAUCGACCCGGUCCGAAGAGAUCUCACAUCUCCAGGCAUAAAAAUGAGCAGCGACAAGGCCGGGCCGCCCACCGUCCCGAUCCAUCAGCGCUCACUUUACGGCCUCCACCUCCGGAUCAAUACAGCUGCAUGUGGAGACAUGAAGGAUGAAGGUUUGGAUGCAGCUGGAGGGGCUCCUGGGAAACCUGCAGCUGUCUCCAGGUAACAUCUGGACUCUCUGCUGGAGGCGUCACAGGGCUCCACAGUUUAACCUGCUCACGAAGUGACGCAGCGAUUAGUCCAGACCGGCUGCACAACAGGCCCGAGCUCGCAUCCAGAAUCACUGCGAUCCUGAUUUAAUUUCACACCUGCUGCUGCUUUCAGGCAGACAAGCUGGAAUCGGACUCGAACGGUGUCUCGUCUCGACUCGCCCCGACUCAUCAAUUCGGAGGCGAAGAUCCCUGAAGGACUGAUCUCAUCUCUGUUUUCUGAGCCUUUUCUCUGCAACAAAAACAAGCCUGUGACGGCAGCAAUCCGGGCCAGCGCCGGGUUUCUGCUCCUGCAAAUUGGUUGCACGUACAAAAGCAAUGAUUUCUCAGAGACCUGGUCGGAAAUUCAGGAGAAAAUCCUCAGUUUGGCGCCUAUAUGACCCAUACACUUUACACUUUAUAAGCCCAAAAGUGACCAAAUCUACAAAAGAAAGGAGCAAACUGAUGGCAUGUCACCUCAGUCUUCACACUCGUUACUUCUUUCAGGCAACUCACUUCCCAGAGUAGGCAUUUUAUCCUUUUUUUUAUUAAAUUUUUUCAAUAAUUUCACAUUAAGCAUGGUGGUGGCAGUAUCAUAGCAUGCCAUGAUGCUGCCACCACCAUGCUUCAUAUCAUGAUGCCGCUACCACUAGGCUUGUUUUAUUGCACUUAUGCCGAUUGUUUUCUCCUGACUAGGUCCUUGCUUGUGUUGUAUCUCCUCUCAGAUGUAGGUCGCUUUGGAUAAAAGCGUCUGCUAAAUGAAAUUGCAAUUCAGUCAAACUUUAUUUUUGUCUUAUCAUGAGUAGCCUGUUCUUCCAGUCUCAGGUUUUGCUUUUCAGAAUAUUAACAAAAGAAAAAGGAUGCUGUCCACAUAUAUGAGAAAGCAAGGAAGGAAAAAUCAGACCCACAGAUCAGAGCAGUGUCGCAGCUGUAGCACAUAUUUUCAUCGGAAAUAAUAAAAUUCUCCGUUCAGUGCAGCAGCUGUGACGGGGCAGGGUGGCGGUUUCUUUGUGUUGUGGGGAGAAAUAACUUUAUUUCAGCACCUUUAUUUAAUUGUGACGAGUUUCAUGUCGUUUCCUCUCAGGCUGAGCUGCUCGUCUCCUCUCAGCAGCUUCAGAUUUCCACCAGUGAGGAAUACAAGGGGUCAGCAAACUCGAUAAGAAUUUUUAACGAGUCAGCCAUCCCACUGUAAAUAGGAUCCUUUAACUACAAAAUCAAUCCUCUUUUUCCUGAGCUGUGUUCACAUUUUCAGCCUUUCUGCCUCCGUCCAUCCAUCUGUCCAGGCUGCUGACUGAUGGAUUCAUUCCGACACUUCCUCUCCUCAUGAUUUGCUCUGUUUGUUUCCCCUCAGAAAAAGCCUCAGUCUGUUGAAAAUGUAGGUUUUCCUUUCGCUCGUUUUGUGCCUAAGUUUGAUCAGUGUGCAUCUCUUUCAUGCAAAGUGACCAAAAUGAAAUGUCGUUUUUUUGUCACACUUGGGAUAUUUUGUGUCUCUUUGUGGUAUUUUUCUUUGGCAUUUUUAGCGUUUAUUAUAUAAGACAGUGGAGAGAGAGAGAGAGACAGGAAACAUGGGUAAAAGACAGCAAAUGGCCGUGGGUUGGACUUGAACCCAUGUCACCCUCUCAACCAGUUGCCGGGGCGCCCUCUUUGUGGUUAUUUGGCAUGAGUUUAUGUUAGUUUUUUGGGCCAUUUUAUGUCAUUUUCUGUGUUAUUUUGAUCAUUUCUAAUUCCCUGUGGCUGUUUACAUUUUCAUUUUGGUUGUUCUGCAUCUUUGGGUUACAUCCAUCAAGUUUUUUCUUGCCAAUGUCUUCUGAGAGCUUGCUCUGUGGGUUCAGCCCAUUAGGGUUCUCUAAAUCGUCUUGAGACAAUCUGAAUUGUAAUUGGCGCUGUAUAAAUAAAAUUGAAUUAAAUUGAA